CUAACCACCACAUCCACGGCAGCGAUCCCUUAAGUGGUGGUGAUAUUAUUAUUUUAUUAUUGCCAGCCAGUGGCUUUAAAGGUGCAUUAUUUUAAUGCAUUAUUAAUUGUUUUCCCAGGGAGAGAAGGAAACUGGGGAUAGGGCUUAUUAUUAUUAAUAGCGAGGAGAUCACUCGCUCCUUUCGCGCACGACGAGGAGAGCGGUGGGAGGAGGCAGCGCCGGAGGGAGGCGGCAGCGGAGCGCACCCCGCUCUCAGGCUCGUUGCGCGGCCGCGGGAACCACCCGCGGGGGCCCGGCGCAGCCCUCGCCUCUCCCUCCCUGUGCCCCCACCCUCGCCCUGUUGCCCUAGCCUUCGGGCGGAAAGUUCCGCGGGCAGCGGCCAACCUCGUGCCUGCCCAAAGCAGCCCCUCGGCAUCCCCCCCAGCUCCAGCCCCAGCCCCAGUCAUAGCUCCGCGCGGGCGGCGUGUCUCCGCGGGCGCCGAAGUUGCGGCAGGGCCGGGGGGCCUCUGCGACUGCCAGCCAUCAAGUGGCUCGUUAAGGAAAUGCAGCUCCUUCGGGGCCUGUGUGGACUAGGGGCACAACCCGGCGCCUGACUGGCAGGAGGGAAAGCGGAGACUCCUUCAGGUUUCCAAAGAGGUCCGAGUGGACUGCAUUAGACUGAGAAAUAAAGUUGCUGUAUUGCAAGAAACUUGCCAGGGAAAUCUGAGAUACUGAUUGUGGUGGAGCUCAGUUGUCCAUCAGUAUGAAACCACAGGAAAUUGCAGAACUUUUGUCUUGCAACAGUGUGAAUUGAUCAGAGAGAUCCAAAGGGACUUUGACAGGCUUGAGAGGUGGAACCAUGCAAACACCAUGAAGUUCAACAAGGCCAUGUGCAAGGCCCUGCACCUGCAUCAAGGCAAUCCAAACAUGAAUACUGAAUGAGGCAACAAGUCGAUAGAGAGCAGCCUUGUGAACAAGGACUUGUGGGGUUGGUGGAUGAAACAUGAGAUGGCAGUGUGCACUUAUGAGCUCAGAAAGCCGAUCCUAUCCUGGGCUCCCUGAAAUGGAGUGUAUCUAGCAG
ensembl:lncRNA